rnacentral:rRNA from 1 species
CGGACGGGUGAGUAACACGUGGAUAACCUACCUAUAAGACUGGGAUAACUUCGGGAAACCGGAGCUAAUACCGGAUAAUAUAUUGAACCGCAUGGUUCAAUAGUGAAAGACGGUUUUGCUGUCACUUAUAGAUGGAUCCGCGUCGCAUUAGCUAGUUGGUAAGGUAACGGCUUACCAAGGCAACGAUGCGUAGCCGACCUGAGAGGGUGAUCGGCAACACUGGAACUGAGACACGGUCCAG